AUCGCUUCUCGGCCUUUUGGCUAAGAUCAAGUGUAGGAAAUAGUGAUGACACUGGUAGAGGAACCAACUUUGUUUUGGCAACGCAUAACUGUGAUGUGGAUUUUAGGUUGUCAACUGGUUAAUUUCUUGCUCUCAUUAGGAUUCUAGUAAGUUUUACUUGUUUUUAGCAGUGUGUACUUGGAUACAUCCCUU
ensembl:snRNA U2 U2 spliceosomal RNA